rnacentral:rRNA from 1 species
UCCGUAGGGGGCAAGCGUUGUCCGGAUUUAUUGGGCGUAAAGAGCUCGUAGGCGGCUUGGCAAGUCGGGUGUGAAAACUUCAGGCUCAACCUGGAGCGGCCACUCGAUACUGCUAUGGCUUGAGUCCGGUAGGGGACCACGGAAUUCCUGGUGUAGCGGUGAAAUGCGCAGAUAUCAGGAGGAACACCAGUGGCGAAGGCGGUGGUCUGGGCCGGAACUGACGCUGAGGAGCGAAAGCGUGGGUAGCAAACAGG